rnacentral:sRNA from 1 species
ACAGGAGGUAAAGUCUGUACAAAGAGAGAGGAGAUUGGCAACAGAGAAGGCAACCAUUACAACUGUGAUGACCCAGUGCGGACAGAGUGCUGUGAGAGAAACCAGACGUUUACUUGUUGUGAGGAGCAAUGGAAGAAUAGUGCGCAACAAAUGCUCUGGUUGCUUCUAGUGGUCUCAGUCAUCCUCAUCUUCAUCUGUCUUAGUGUGCGCUAUUUGACUGGACAGUCUGAAGUCUUGACAUCCCCCACACUCAAAGAUGCAGUCAUCAAUUGGAAGAGUACAAUGUGUCGAAGGUUCUAUAACCUGUGUACGCCAGGUUGCAGAAAGCAGCCGAGACAGGGAGACAACUCAUUUUUUAAUUUAACCUCAGACCAGAAUACAUUGGUGUCAACCAAUAAAAAGUACCUAUCAACUUAAUUGCUUAAUUGUCAGUGCAAUACAACACAUAGAAAUUUAAAUGAUUCAGAUAGAUUGUGUACAUUUGGAAAGUCUUAGUUUCUCUCUGCACUGAUCAAUGAAUAUAUUUUGACCCAGAGUGUUAGCUACCAAAUAUGUUCAUGUGUACAACUUAAAAGUAUCAUUGUGAUGAAAGUCAUGUGUCCAUUAGAAUGUCUGUCCCAUUUUAAAAGCAGAUAUUAAAAAUGUAACUAUUUACUUAUACUUGGUGUAAAAUUUUAAUUGAAUGGACAAUAAUGUUUUACUAGAUUUCCAUACAAGUCCUUCUAAAUGCAUGCUCUUUUGGGAACAAAAAAUAAAAAAAGACCUGCAAGAAAUUGUGCUCAUGUGUAGCAUUAACUCUUACUUCAAGAGUGUUAAGAAUAACAAUGAUCAUUUACUUUAGUUUAAAAAAUGAAAGUAAUACUGUAUUUUCCUCCUAUACCCGACACAGAGAAUAACAUUGUUAUAUAAAAAAUGGAUUACAAAAAGAAA